GGCAAAUGCUGAGCUGAAAUGCACAUUCCUUUCAUUUCAAUUUCAGCUCAUUUCUGGGUUACUUGAGUGCCACAGAUGAAUGGAGGCAGGUCACUUCUGCUUCAAGAUUCCAUCAACCCCCAGAAAAGGUGAAGGGUGUGUUACAAGAGGGGCGUAAGAGCUGAGACCAGUUACUACUGCCCUGAUUGCCUCUCUCAGCCCGGC